GGACUCGCACAAGCGGUGGAGCGCGCGGCUUAAUUCGAUACCAAGCGAAGAACCUUACCAGGGCUAGAAACCAUAGGGAACUCACUCCGAAAGGAGUGGGGCCUUCGGGCUCUAUGGCAGGUGAUGCAUGGCCGUCGUCAGUUCGUGGUUUGAACUGUUCCCUUAAGUGGGGUAACGAACGCAACCCUCGUUGCCAGUUAUAUGUGUCUGGCGAGACUGCUCCCUCACGGGAGAGGAAGGUGGGGAUGACGCCAGGUCAGCAUGUCCCUUGAUGCCCUGGGCUGCACGCACGCUACAAUGGCUGUUACAACAGGUUGCGACCGGGUAACCGUAAGCUAAUCCUUAUAAAAACAGUCUCAGUGCGGAUUGAGGUCUGCAACUCGACCUCAUGAAGUCGGAAUCGCUAGUAA
rnacentral:rRNA from 1 species